rnacentral:rRNA from 1 species
CCUACGGGAGACAGCAGUGAGGAAUAUUGGUCAAUGGACGAGAGUCUGAACCAGCCAAGUAGCGUGAAGGAUGACUGCCCUAUGGGUUGUAAACUUCUUUUAUAUGGGAAUAAAAUGUUCCACGUGUGGGAUUUUGUAUGUACCAUAUGAAUAAGGAUCGGCUAACUCCGUGCCAGCAGCCGCGGUAAUACGGAGGAUCCGAGCGUUAUCCGGAUUUAUUGGGUUUAAAGGGAGCGUAGGUGGAUUUUUAAGUCAGUUGUGAAAGUUUGCGGCUCAACCGUAAAAUUGCAGUUGAAACUGGCAGUCUUGAGUACAGUAGAGGUGGGCGGAAUUCGUGGUGUAGCGGUGAAAUGCUUAGAUAUCACGAAGAACUCCGAUUGCGAAGGCAGUUCACUGGACUGCAACUGACACUGAGGCUCGAAAGUGUGGGUAUCAAACAGGAUUAGAUACCCGGGUAGUC